CUCCUGUGUUCUGGUGAUGUGGCAAUAUUCUAAUGCAGCGCUCUAGAUUCAUUGCCUUUAGCUUCUCCUCCUCUUUUAUUGGAAACAUUGUGGGACGUAUUUGUGUUUGUCUAUUUGAAGGCACGUCUUUCCACUCUUCAAACCACUGUCCAUCUUUCAGCAUGACCUUCCAUUUUGUAAUUCCUGGCAUCCUCUUCAAACCUGGCAACUCAGAAGAGACAUCAGCAAGUUCUAAGGCACCUUGACUCUUUUCCAGCAGAGAUGCAAUCACAGCUUCAUUUUCGAUAGGAUUCAACGAACACGUAGAAUAUACCAUUCUCCCACCUUCUGCCAGCUGUUCAACACCACGGGUUGCAAUCCUUAGCUGCAAUCUAAAAGAACAACCUUGGUCUAAUGAGGUAUCAUUCAAGAACCAGAAACAUUUAUCACUAAAUGUGCCACAGUUGAAGUUAUACAACAGACACUCAGAUCUCC
rnacentral:lncRNA from 1 species